GCCUCAUGAUUAGGGAAUUGUUCUAAUGUUCCAUUAAGCCUCUCCCAUGCUUUAUAAAAUGGCUCCCCAUUUAAUUGACUAAAUUUUAUGAUCUCAUCCCUGAUAAU
rfam:Capsicum annuum cultivar Zunla-1 chromosome 11, whole genome shotgun sequence